rnacentral:rRNA from 1 species
GAUGAACGCUGGCGGCGUGCCUAAUACAUGCAAGUCGAGCGAACAGACGAGGAACUUGCUCCUCUGACGUUAGCGGCGGACGGGUGAGUAACACGUGGAUAACCUACCUAUAAGACUGGGAUAACUUCGGGAAACCGGAGCUAAUACCGGAUAAUAUAUUGAACCGCAUGGUUCAAUAGUGAAAGACGGUUUUGCUGUCACUUAUAGAUGGAACCGCGCCGCAUUAGCUAGUUGGUAAGGUAAGGGCUUACCAAGGCAACGAUGCGUAGCCGACCUGAGAGGGGAAUCAGCCACACUGGAACUGAGACACGGUCCAGACUCCUACGGGAGGCAGCAGUAGGGAAUCUUCCGCAAUGGGCGAAAGCCUGACGGAGCAACGCCGCGUGAGUGAUGAAGGUCUUCGGAUCGUAAAACUCUGUUAUUAGGGAAGAAUAAAUGUGUAAGUAACUAUGCACGUCUUGACGGUACCUAAUCAGAAAGCCACGGCUAACUACGUG